rnacentral:ncRNA from 1 species
AAGGUCGCCGCAACGGUAAUUCAAUUUAGUACGAGAGGAACCGUUGAUUCAGAUAAUUGGUUUUUGCGGCUGUCUGACCAGGCAGUGCCGCGACGCUACCAUCUGCCGGAUAAUGGCUGAACGCCUCUAAGUCAGAAUCCGUGCCGGAACGCGGCGAUGUUGCCCCGCACGUCGUAGUUGGAUACGAAUAGGCCUCCGGGCCACGAACCUCAGCAGGCUGGCGACGGCUCCCCGGGAGAAGCCCCGGGGAGCUGGCUGGCGGAUUGCAAUGUCACCUCGCGCGGGGAUGAAUCCUCUGCAUACGACUGAAGUGACCAAGCGGGUCGUGUAAGCGGUCAAGUAGCCUUGUUGCUACGAGUCGCUGAGCGUCAGCCCGACCUUGGCUAGAUUU